UGGGGAAUAUUGCGCAAUGGGGGAAACCCUGACGCAGCCACGCCGCGUGAGUGAUGAAGGCCUUCGGGUUGUAAAGCUCUGUCGGGAGGGAAGAAGGGAGCAAUCCCUGACGGUACCUCGCAAGAAAGCACCGGCUAACUCUGUGCCAGCAGCCGCGGUAAUACAGAGGGUGCAAGCGUUGCUCGGAUUUACUGGGCGUAAAGCGUACGCAGACGGCUGGAUAAGUCGGGUGUGAAAGCCCCGGGCUCAACCCGGGAACUGCAUUCGAAACUGUCCGGCUAGAGUAUGGGAGAGGGAAGUGGAAUUCCUGGUGUAGAGGUGAAAUUCGUAGAUAUCAGGAGGAACACCGGCGGCGAAGGCGGCUUCCUGGCCCAUUACUGACGUUCAGGUACGAAAGCGUGGGGAGCAAACAGG
rnacentral:rRNA from 1 species